rnacentral:ncRNA from 1 species
AAACAAAUUACAAUGCAAACACAAACACACACAACAAUGGAAAAACAACUCUCACUCCGAUUAUCUCUGUUAUCGUAUUUUUGAUGCGAGGAUAAAGAUUGUCUGAGAAAUGAGUUCACUAUCCACAACUUUCGCCCGCAUCUCCAUGCGGGCUUUUUUUAUCUCUA